rnacentral:rRNA from 1 species
UGCCAGCCGCCGCGGUAAUACGAAUGGGGCAAGCGUUGUUCGGAAUCACUGGGCUUAAAGCGUACGUAGGCGGACUUGAAAGUCAGGAGUGAAAUCCCAGGGCUCAACCCUGGAACUGCUCUUGAAACUCCAAGUCUUGAAUUCUGGAGAGGUUAGUGGAAUUCCUAGUGUAGAGGUGAAAUUCGCAGAUAUUAGGAGGAACACCAGUGGCGAAGGCGACUAACUGGACAGAUAUUGACGCUGAGGUACGAAAGCGUGGGGAGCAAACAGGAUUAGAUA